UGAGGGAUGGUUCAGUUGGUAGAGCAUGAGACUCUUAAUCUCAGUUUGUGAGUUCAGGCCCCACGAAAGAUUUCUGCAU